rnacentral:rRNA from 1 species
CAGCAGCCACGGUAAUACGUAGGGUGCAAGCGUUAAUCGGAAUUACUGGGCGUAAAGCGUGCGCAGGCAGUUCGCUAAGACAGAUGUGAAAUCCCCGGGCUUAACCUGGGAACUGCAUUUGUGACUGGCGGGCUAGAGUAUGGCAGAGGGGGGUAGAAUUCCACGUGUAGCAGUGAAAUGCGUAGAGAUGUGGAGGAAUACCGAUGGCGAAGGCAGCCCCCUGGGCCAAUACUGACGCUCAUGCACGAAAGCGUGGGGAGCAAACAGGAUUAGAUACCCGUGUAGUCCCUGUCUCUUAUAC